CAUGAACACAACGCUCCGUAUUCCAUACGUCUUUCGCUUGUAUCCUGUGAGUCUCCUGCGGAAAUUAGUAUUAGAGCCGGAAACAGCGACAUACAAUCGUCAGGACAUAUCGCGCACCUUCUAGACUUUCAGGAGACUUGGAUGUAUCGUAAGCAUCGCUUCCGAUUUCGGCGCUGCAAAAGCGCGGCAAGGUGAACGCUUUUGGCAGCAUGUUCCGGCCUUCAGACCGGCUCGACCGGGUACUCUGUGCUCGUUUUACUCCUUCGUUCGAGCUUCUUUUGUAUCUCCUGCAAAGUUUUUCCUUUCGUCUCCGGCACCAAGAGGAAUGCGAAGACGGUGGACGUGGCGGUGAAGCAUGCGAAUGUCCAAAAGGUCGCAGCGGGGCCCAACUUGUCCUCCAUGGACGGGAACAGCUUGGUAACGGCGAACACCAGGCUCCAGUGCACCACGAUAGACAUGCUGCUGGCGACGCCCUUGGUCUGCGGCGGAAAUAUCUCGCUUAUCACUGUGAACGGCACGGAACCAUAGCCGAUCGAAAAGAAGACGUUGAAGGUGGAGAGACAGGUGAGCGGCAGCCAUCCAAUGGCAUUCACGUCGCCUUCGUUUUUGAGCUUAAAGUAAUAGCCCAGGACGAUCAAAUCAAUAGUCAUCGCCAUGCUGGAUAUAAUCAGAAGCGGUUUGCGACCGAACCUGAAGAGAGAGGACAACAAAAUUCAUUAGAAAUCCAAAGGUUGCGUUAAUUCUGAAGCUGUCACACUGUCGGCAGCGGUUUUUCAUAUCUUCGGUUCACAGCAAUACAUUACUCUUGCGUUCUCACCUGUCGAUAACGGUGGCGACAACUAUUGUUAUCACGACCUCGACGAUUCCGACGAUAAUGCUCGCCACGUAGGGAUCGACUGUACUGUUGGCCACCUGGAAGAUAGUGACCGUGUAGAAGAGGAUCGCGUCCACGCCACACAGUUGCUGGAAGCUCAUGAGCCCUAUGCAGACGAUAAUGGCUCUACGCCCGGCUUGGGUGCCGAUGAGGUCUUUGAAGCCGCCUUGCGCCUUCGCCACCUUAUCUAUGUCGUCCUGGAGAACAGUUAUCUCGUCCUGAAUGUCGUACUUCGAUCCCCGCAGAGUGAAUAGGACUUUGGUGACUUGAGCCUUGCGACCACGUUGCACCAGCCAUAUCGGCGACUCCGGCAUGAAGGGCGCGCCAAGGAUGAGAGGGAACAGUAGGGCGCAGCAAAUAGUGUUGAAGGCCACGUAGGAACAGUACGCGCCUGCUGUGUAGGACAAGACGAUCCCCAAGGAGAGGAGAAUCGGAAAGAAAGCUGUCAGGGCGCCUCGGAUCGACGCCUGUGCGAUCUCGCCGAUGUAGAUCGGCACCAGGACGCACGCCGCUCCGGCGCCGAUCCCGCCGACGAAUCUAGCGAUGUAUAUGCUGACGACGUUCCGACUGAAGAUCAAAAGCAGCCAGCUUGUCGCGAACGGCACGAUCGUCAAGAGGAUGGACCACUUCCGACCGAUACGAUCGGCGAUCUUGCCGGCAGGCACGGCACCCACGAUAGCGCCCAGUGCAAGCAAGGACGUUAUCCAGGAAAUUUGAUCCUCAGACAGUGGGGGAAGGAAGGACGCCUCUGACAUAAGAUAUGGUAGUAUCGGCGACGUCCAAGUGAGUGUUAUGCCACUCUGAAUACCGAUUAUUCCAGCUGCAAUCAAACGCGCAUUAUCGGAGAAACGAUUGGUCUUUUAACUCAGAAAGAGAAAAGAAUUACUUCUAUGUGAAUUGACUUUGCUGAUUCAUAUUAUUGAAACGCCAAGAUAUCGUGUUAAAUGAACGAGAUCGUUUCGCCUCGACGGCUAAGAUUUGAGGAAACUAAAUUCAAAGCGCUUGAAGUCACUUGGCGACUAAUUGUACCAAUUGUUUGAUUAAAGAGUUUGAAGAUUAAAAAAUUAUAUAAUAUGAUCUAUA